UACGUAGGGUGCGAGCGUUAAUCGGAAUUACUGGGCGUAAAGCGUGCGUAGGCGGUUCGUUAAGUUCGUUGUGAAAGCCCCGGGCUCAACCUGGGAACUGCAAUGGAAACUGGCGGGCUUGAGUGUGGCAGAGGGGGGUGGAAUUCCGCGUGUAGCAGUGAAGUGCGUAGAGAUGCGGAGGAACACCGGUGGCGAAGGCGGCAUCCUGGACCAACACUGACACUGAGGAGCGAAAGCCAGGGGAGCAAACGGG
rnacentral:rRNA from 1 species